CACUAUCGUUAACUGAAUACAUAGGUUAACGAGGCGAACCGGGGGAACUGAAACAUCUAAGUACCCCGAGGAAAAGAAAUCAACCGAGAUUCCCCCAGUAGCGGCGAGCGAACGGGGAGCAGCCCAGAGUCUGAAUCAGCUUGUGUGUUAGUGGAACGGUCUGGAAAGUCCGACGGUACAGGGUGAUAGUCCCGUACACCAAAAUGCACAGGCUGUGAACUCGAAGAGUAGGGCGGGACACGUGGUAUCCUGUCUGAAUAUGGGGGGACCAUCCUCCAAGGCUAAAUACUCCUGACUGACCGAUAGUGAACCAGUACCGUGAGGGAAAGGCGAAAAGAACCCCGGCGAGGGGAGUGAAAAAGAACCUGAAACCGUGUACGUACAAGCAGUGGGAGCACCUUUAUGGUGUGACUGCGUACCUUUUGUAUAAUGGGUCAGCGACUUAUAUUCUGUAGCAAGGUUAACCGUAUAGGGGAGCCGCAGGGAAACCGAGUCUUAACUGGGCGUUAAGUUGCAGGGUAUAGACCCGAAACCCGGUGAUCUAGCCAUGGGCAGGUUGAAGGUUGGGUAACACUAACUGGAGGACCGAACCGACUAAUGUUGAAAAAUUAGCGGAUGACUUGUGGCUGGGGGUGAAAGGCCAAUCAAACCGGGAGAUAGCUGGUUCUCCCCGAAAGCUAUUUAGGUAGCGCCUCGUGAAUUCAUCUUCGGGGGUAGAGCACUGUUUCGGCUAGGGGGUCAUCCCGACUUACCAACCCGAUGCAAACUACGAAUACCGAAGAAUGUUAUCACGGGAGACACACGGCGGGUGCUAACGUCCGUCGUGAAGAGGGAAACAACCCAGACCGCCAGCUAAGGUCCCAAAGUCAUGGUUAAGUGGGAAACGAUGUGGGAAGGCACAGACAGCCAGGAUGUUGGCUUAGAAGCAGCCAUCAUUUAAAGAAAGCGUAAUAGCUCACUGGUCGAGUCGGCCUGCGCGGAAGAUGUAACGGGGCUAAACCAUGCACCGAAGCUGCGGCAGCGACACGAUGUGUUGUUGGGUAGGGGAGCGUUCUGUAAGCCUGCGAAGGUGACCUGUGAGGGUUGCUGGAGGUAUCAGAAGUGCGAAUGCUGACAUAAGUAACGAUAAAGCGGGUGAAAAGCCCGCUCGCCGGAAGACCAAGGGUUCCUGUCCAACGUUAAUCGGGGCAGGGUGAGUCGACCCCUAAGGCGAGGCCGAAAGGCGUAGUCGAUGGGAAACAGGUUAAUAUUCCUGUACUUGGUGUUACUGCGAAGGGGGGACGGAGAAGGCUAUGUUAGCCGGGCGACGGUUGUCCCGGUUUAAGCAUGUAGGCUGAUUAUCCAGGCAAAUCCGGAUAAUCAAGGCUGAGGUGUGAUGACGAGGCACUACGGUGCUGAAGUAACAAAUGCCCUGCUUCCAGGAAAAGCCUCUAAGCAUCAGGUAACAUCAAAUCGUACCCCAAACCGACACAGGUGGUCAGGUAGAGAAUACCAAGGCGCUUGAGAGAACUCGGGUGAAGGAACUAGGCAAAAUGGUGCCGUAACUUCGGGAGAAGGCACGCUGGUGUGUAGGUGAAGCCCCUGCGGGUGGAGCUGAGACCAGUCGAAGAUACCAGCUGGCUGCAACUGUUUAUUAAAAACACAGCACUGUGCAAACACGAAAGUGGACGUAUACGGUGUGACGCCUGCCCGGUGCCGGAAGGUUAAUUGAUGGGGUUAUCCGUAAGGAGAAGCUCUUGAUCGAAGCCCCGGUAAACGGCGGCCGUAACUAUAACGGUCCUAAGGUAGCGAAAUUCCUUGUCGGGUAAGUUCCGACCUGCACGAAUGGCGUAAUGAUGGCCAGGCUGUCUCCACCCGAGACUCAGUGAAAUUGAACUCGCUGUGAAGAUGCAGUGUACCCGCGGCAAGACGGAAAGACCCCGUGAACCUUUACUAUAGCUUGACACUGAACAUUGAGCCUUGAUGUGUAGGAUAGGUGGGAGGCUUUGAAGCGUGGACGCCAGUCUGCGUGGAGCCAACCUUGAAAUACCACCCUUUAAUGUUUGAUGUUCUAACGUUGGCCCCUUACCGGGGUUGCGGACAGUGUCUGGUGGGUAGUUUGACUGGGGCGGUCUCCUCCCAAAGCGUAACGGAGGAGCACGAAGGUUAGCUAAUCCUGGUCGGACAUCAGGAGGUUAGUGCAAUGGCAUAAGCUAGCUUGACUGCGAGCGUGACGGCGCGAGCAGGUGCGAAAGCAGGUCAUAGUGAUCCGGUGGUUCUGAAUGGAAGGGCCAUCGCUCAACGGAUAAAAGGUACUCCGGGGAUAACAGGCUGAUACCGCCCAAGAGUUCAUAUCGACGGCGGUGUUUGGCACCUCGAUGUCGGCUCAUCACAUCCUGGGGCUGAAGUAGGUCCCAAGGGUAUGGCUGUUCGCCAUUUAAAGUGGUACGCGAGCUGGGUUUAGAACGUCGUGAGACAGUUCGGUCCCUAUCUGCCGUGGGCGCUGGAGAAUUGAGGGGGGCUGCUCCUAGUACGAGAGGACCGGAGUGGACGCAUCACUGGUGUUCGGGUUGUCAUGCCAAUGGCACUGCCCGGUAGCUAAAUGCGGAAGAGAUAAGUGCUGAAAGCAUCUAAGCACGAAACUUGCCCCGAGAUGAGUUCUCCCUGAGACUUUAAGUCUCCUGAAGGAACGUU
rnacentral:rRNA from 1 species